rnacentral:RNase_P_RNA from 1 species
UGGCAAACGCGCCAUUUUAAAGGUAAUGGUGAGGAAAGUCCAUGCUCGCAUAGUCUGUGAUGACUAUAGUGUUCAUGCAUAGGGAAAAAAUAACCUAUGGUAGUUUAGGCUAACGGCUCUGAAAUAACCUAAGUUUUUAAAUACGGUUAAAGUAAGUAUAAAAGUGCCAUAGUGACGAAUAAGCUGGAAACGGUGGAAAUGGAACGUGGUAAACCCCAUGAGCGAGAAACCCAAAUUUUGGUAGGGGAGCCUAAUAAUUGAGAAUACGAAUCAAUUAUGGGAUUGCUAAGCAAUAGAUAGAUGUUUGCCACCUUUAUUAAGGUACAGAACAUGGCUUAUAA